AGAUAAGUGGUGGUAUCAUGGUGAAGGGGGAAGCAUGCAGGGUCCAAAUCAGGUGGGACUUAAUUCAUAGUAGAAAAAAAUCUAGCAGUAGGUUGACAUAAGAAUCUGAAAAUCUGAGCAUGGGUUUUGUCUUUGCCAGCUGUGAAUUGUGUGACUUUGGGCAAGUUCCUUGUUCUCUAUAGCAUCGAAUAUCCUUUUCUAUGAAAUAGUGUUCAUGCCUCCAUUGGACGGGAUGGUGAGAAUAAAUAAGACGUAAGGUGGGAUGUAAAGGACCUCGAAGGGCCUGACACUGGAAAAUGAGCAUCAGCUGUUAGCUCCUGCCUUCCCAUCAGUUAUAGAGAGGGUUAAGACAUGGUCCCUGCCCUAGGGAGCAGCCGUAUGCAUACUAUACAUGGUGAGAUGAACUAUGGCAAAGGAGAAAGUUAUUAAAUAUCCAUUUAAUUUUAUAGUCUGCCUCUGAUAAAGUAAAAAAUGGCCAUGAUAAAUGUAUUUUUGAGAUCUUUUAUUAUUUUUAGAAAGAGCCAGCUAACUCAUGACAAAAUUAUGUGAAGUUGAUUAAGAAUGUUCACCAAACACUUGAGACACCUAAUUCCCUUUGAACCAGCUGUGGAAGGUUUAACAAACUGAUGAAUGGGUUAUUAUCCCAUUUUUUCGGGAUAUAUGAUGAUCGUGAGCAUCUAUAUUAAAUGUGUUUGGGUGACAGUUUGUACUAUUUGUGUAUUUCAACUCUUGAAACUCCAAAAGAAUCUGAGAACACCUUUCCCAUCCAAGUAGAUUAUGAUGCCUAUGAUGUUCAAGUAAAUGUUCAGGCUGCCCAGCUCAUCCUGGGAUCAGCCCCUUGUCACCUGCUUGUUUUCACCUGAUUUACUUGGGGGUGCAUAUAAGAAUUGUUUAUACAAAACCUGAGGUCCAAUAAGGAUCUUUAUGAGCUGAACCUUAAAAAUGUUUUAAAUUAAGAUUAGCCAAAUGGAAGCCAUGCCAUGUAGAAAAUUAAGAAUCCUGUUUUCAUGGGUUUUGCCCCAGACAUUUUGUUUGCCAUAAAGUAGUAUCUUAAAAUAGAGAGAGGGUUCUUAGGCUUUUUCUAAGAGAAGCAGUUUACAAAUUUCAUAAUUUUCUCUCUGGGAUGGCACUAAUAUAGAUCCUCAGGCCCAAAAUUUCUUUUCAGUUUGCAAAAGCUCACGCUCUUUCUUUUAUUUAAUUUCUGCUUAUUAAAUUUGUUCUGUGAUGUUCUGGUCAUGCAGUAAUUUCUACUGUGAUAGAGUUAGAUAUAUCAACAUGUUCAUUCUACCCCAAAUUAUAGAUAAUUUUCUUCAAAUACUUGAUAAUCUGGGCUUUUGUGCUUAGUUCUUUAUAUUUUUAAAAUUAAUGUGUAUAAUAGAAAUUUAGCUUUUGUGUGUGUGUGUGUGUGUGUGUGUGUUUUGGUUCCUCAGUUCACCAAAUAAUGAGUCCAUUUUCCAGGUUUCUUUCCUCCUGUUUGGGGGGUUUUGUUUUUUUAAUUUUUGUUUGUUUGGUUGGUUGUUUCGGUAGCACUGAGGAAUCAGUGCUACCGAACCCAGGGCUUCGUGCCUACUAGGCAAGUGAUUCACCCCUGAGUUAUAUCCACAACAAUUUUUUUAUUAUUUUUUGAGACAGUGUCUUACCAAGUUGCCCAAGGAGGGCAAGUGUGCCUCACCAUGUCCAGUUAUCCACACUGCGACUUAAUUGGUUCUCUAUCCCUUGUACUUGGCUACACAUAUGCUGGUGCUCAAAUAUUUACUUUUGAAACAGUAAAUAUGUAAGUGAGAACUUGGAAUGUACUUUUAGGCUUUGUUAAAGCUCUGAAUUAACAGAAAAUCCUUCUUGGACGAAACAGUUCUGAUUCCAGAAGGGCAGCCCUGUUGGUAGAGUAGCUCUUUGAUUCUGAGGGUUCACCUCCUCAUAGUACUUCUCUUUUGCUCUUUCCUCUGACUUCUUCUUGAGAUUUUCUACCCUAGGGAAAUGUAUGUUUUAAUAAAAAUACAUUAUUAUUAAAACUUUAAUUAAGGAAAUGUUUAAACAUGCUCAAUUAAAGAGAGGAUUUCCCUGAACAUCUAUUAACAUGUUGCCAGACUUGUUUCAUCAAAUUUCCCACAUUCUAAAUUUUGACUGGAAUAUUUUAAAAUAAAGUCCACACAUCCUGUUUUUCUCCAGUCUGAACAGACUUUAUUGUAUGUUUCUAACAAAUGAGAAUUUUUAGAAAACACGUGACCACAGAACCAUUACAACUAUGAACAAUACUAAUUCCUUCAUGUACUUUAAUUUCGACAUUCAAAUUUCCCAAGUGUGUUUUUGUGCUGGGCACAGUGGCACACACCUGUAAUCCCAGUGGCUCCGGAGGCUGAAGCAGGAGAAUCGCAAGUUCAAAGCCAGCCUCAGCAACAGUGAGGCACUAAGCAACUUAGUGAGACGCUGUCUCUAAGUAAAAUACAAAAAUGAGUUGGGGAUGUGGCUGAGUGGUUAAGAGCCCUUAAGUUCAGUCUCUGGUUCCAAAAAAAAAAAAGAAAAGAAAAGAAACUGUUUUUGUAGUUUAUUUGUUUGAAUUGGGAUAUAAACAAGAUCCAUAUAAUAACCAUACCCAUAUUAUGUUUGGAUACGGUGUAUUUUUUUUACGACAAGAGAAUAUUUUGUUUCAUUUAGCUGAUUUUUUAAAUAAUAUUUAACUUCUCUAUUCUCUGAAUUUCUGUAAAGUCUGUAGAUAGUUGAUUAGAUUUAGGUUUUAUUUGGGGUACAAGAAGGGAUCUGAAGUGGCACUGUAUACUUUUUCUUGUAUCACAUGGCAUCUUUUCUUGUUACUACUACAUUUCUAGUGAUAUGAGAAUUGUCAUUGGGGACAGACUGAAGUAAUCACUUCUUUACAGUUGUGAUCCAAGAACUUUGGCUAUUUGAGGACUGGCAUCCACAACUCCCCUUUCUUAUAUCAUAUCUCAAGUUUCUCAAGACAAACACUUUAUAACCCUGCAGCAGCAUGCUGAAAAUGUUACCUGGCUGCCAGACCCUCUAAAGUUUCUUCAGAAUAUUAUCAAAGUAAUGUUUCUGUUGCUUUGCUAAACCAAGAAGCCAUUUUUUGUAGGAACCUAGAGUUUGAGUUUCCUGGGCUGUUUGGGGUAGAGUUCCAAUUCUCUGUUGCUUCCUGGACUAUACCUUGAGCUAGUUUCUCUAUUAGUGACCUGAAGUAUGGAGCAUUAAUUACAGAUUCAGAUGGUAGCAGCAUCAUCAUCUGCCCAGGAUAAUGUGGUGGCCUCAGGUAGUCUUGGUAAACCAGAUCGUUCUCUAGAUGUGUGUUUGAGAAUUUUAGUCUAGUCUCAGGAAAAGAAGAGAAAAGAAUGACCUUUCAAAGAAUCAUUAUUUGAGGAUGGUUGUGGAAAAUCCUCAGAUGCCACCAUCGUGGAGCCCUCUCAGCUAAGCCUAUGCUGCUCCCUGGAUCUCUGUUUCUGCCUUCUAUCUCUUGGGCUCCUGAGUUGUAGAUCUGCCUAACACCUCUGCUCUCCAAUGCUUCAUCCUCCUGUCAGCCUGCCAGGCUGAUGAGAUGAGCUGGAUUUAAAGGAACUAGCUGCAGCAAGAACUCAGAAAACAGUGAAGAAACCAUGCAACACAUGAACAUGAGUUUUAAGGGUGGGACUGCUUUGCAGCCCCAAGGGUCAGCCCCAUGCUGGGCAGUACUGAAAAAAGCAAGAGAAUGAGCGCACCCAGAAUCCCUCUAUUUGUUGGGGAAAAGAUAUUCAAUAGAAUAUUCCACCCAAAUAAGGCAAGGGGUAAUAUUACAAGAAACAGGGGAUUAGCACAAUCCCAUUGGAUGACGCCUAAGCCCAGAGCUGAGGCUCUUCCUUGCUGAGCAAGGGUAAGGCCCACUUGCUUUACACAGUGUGCAAUGCCAGUUCAAUACCCUCAUUAUUCAAGGAUCAAGGGGUGUGCUUAGCUGUGCAGGGCGGCCCCCAAUAUCAUCCUUAAUGUGUUACCAACAGAACUCACAUCUAGCCAUCCUCCAGUCCAUCCUUCCUCCUCUGUUCCCUCUUCUGAUGUUGCCUCUUCACCUCCAUUCUCACUGCUUUUGUUCAGAUCCUUCAGUUUCUGGCCCAGAUUAUUGCAGUAGUCUUCUAAGUGAAUCUUCCUGCUAAGUUCUUGUCCCUUCUGAUUCAUAUUCCAUACUGUUAUCAAUAAGGUAUUUUUAAAUGCAGAUUUGAUUAGCUUCUCUUUCCUACUCAGUGUUGUUUUAUUGUUGUUCUCAGUUUGUUUUGUUGGUGCUGAGGAUUGGACCCAGGCCCUCGUGCUAGUCAAGUUCUUUACCACCAAGCUACAUCUCCACCACUUCCAUGAUUCUUCAUGGCUUAUAAUGCUAGACGUCACCUUGCUUUUGCCUAUAUUUGUAUCUUCACUAACUCCAUUUCCACAUAGCAUUGAAUGUGGAACAAGUGCAGGCCCUAAAAUCUUAGGACAGGAGGCCCAACUCUACCUCUAAUGAGCAAUAACUCUCGAGUUACUUAACCUCUGUAUUCUCAGUUUCUUCAGUAUGGGGAGGAGACUCAUAAAUAUUUAAGUGGAAAUCCACAUAACUGCUUAUGACAGUGCCAGGAACACAUGGUGUGUGUUCAACAAACAGACGCUAUUAUUGUUUUACUAUAUGAGCAUAUUUUAUAUUCUAUCAAUUGCUUAUGACUCCUCAAAAGAAUAUGUCCUCAUAUUCCUUUGCAUAGUAUAGUCCCAUUGUAUAAAAUAUGCUUCUUCCCUGUCUUCAGCCCCUGAUUCUACCUGAAAAAUAUCCACUAAGUCUAUGUGCUCCCAGUUGUACAAGUUGAGACAUCAUGAUCCCACUGUGUUCCCCAAUAAACAGAAAGAGCUUAUCUUUGCUCACCUUCUUCCCAUAGUGUUUAGCACAUUUAUUGCAAAUAAAUGUAUACUUCUAAAACUGAGCUGUCAUUAUCUGAGAAGAACUUGAACAAUCCACAGAAUUGCUUGAUAUUAGAGUACUUGAUUAUAUAUUUUUGUGUUCUAGAAUGUAUAACUUGUUAUAGAAGUUGUGGGCUCCCUUGGAUUGUUUUUCUAGUCAGGAUGAUGUAAUUAAGUGGGGUCACCCUUACCCUUGUCUAGUUCCCUCAUGACCCGACCCAUAACAUGUUUUCAAAAGGGCAAGGGGUCUUCAUUAGGGGGUGGGCUCUGGCCAUGUGGAAUUGAAUUCUUUCUCAUUUUGACCCUAAUAUACCUGAUCAAUUAUGUUAAAUAAAGCAUUUAGGUACAAUCAUCCUAAUUUUUAUUGACAUGUGCAAUAACCAGUUAAUAUUAGAUCUGUCCGACUGUAUCCAGAACCUUACCACCACCAAUCCAACCCUAUCCCACCAACUUUUAUUUGGAUGCAGUAGUACUUUUUUGUACUUUAUUUUCAACAUGACAAUUCAGAGUGACCAUUCUAAAAUACAAGUCAGAUCAUGAACCUUAUCUAGCACAAAAUUUUCCAAGUACUGCCACAGUCUGGCUGGGCACAAUUCACAAGCCACUUAUCAAGCAGAAACGAACUGUAUUUUUAGAACACACACCCCACACCACACGAGCUCUUCAGGAAUUCCCUCAGAGCCCAACUGCCACCAUCGGCUUCCCACAAGCCUCUCAACCCCCCCACUCCUCCUGCUCUUGAGGCCAAUUGGCUGGGUCAUGGGGACGGAGCCAAAAAAAGUCCCCCAAUGAGCAGCUCCAUGGUCUGAAAGGGCUGGGAAACAGCCCAAUGAGCAUCACCACAGAGGAGCCAAUCAGCUGGCAGCUAGAAGUUUGCUGGGGCCGCUGUGAGCCAA
rnacentral:lncRNA from 1 species